UGCCCAACUACUCCUAUCCCUACCUCCUCGUAAUACUGGCCGGAGUACGAGUAACCUUAGGGAACAUCGGGUUACCAACCCCGGUGGGAACUUUGGUCGUAUGCUGACAGGGAAGG
rnacentral:ribozyme from 1 species